CCGGAGGUUACUGCUAUCGAGGUUCGACUAAGCCAUGCGAGUCGAAUGUAGCAAUACAUGGCGUACUGCUCAGUAACACGUGGACAACCUGCCCUUAGGUUGGGUAUAAACCCGGGAAACUGGGUAUAAUCCCCUAUAAGUCUCGGCUGCUGGAAUGCACCGAGAUUAAAAGCUCCGGCGCCUAAGGAUGGGUCUGCGGCCUAUCAGGUAGUAGUGGGUGUAGCGUACCUACUAGCCUACGACGGGUACGGGUUGUGAGAGCAAGAGCCCGGAGAUGGAUUCUGAGACACGAAUCCAGGCCCUACGGGGUGCAGCAGGCGCGAAAACUUUACAAUGCUGGCAACAGCGAUAAGGGAACCUCGAGUGCCAGGUUACAAAUCUGGCUGUCGAGAUGCCUAAAAAGCAUUUCAUAGCAAGGGCCGGGCAAGACCGGUGCCAGCCGCCGCGGUAACACCGGCGGCUCGAGUGGUAACCGUUAUUAUUGGGUCUAAAGGGUCUGUAGCCGGCCGGAUAAGUCUCUUGAGAAAUCUGGCAGCUUAACUGUCAGGCUUUCAGGAGAUACUGUCUGGCUCGAGGCCGGGAGAGGUGAGAGGUACUUCAGGGGUAGGGGUGAAAUCUUGUAAUCCUUGAAGGACCACCAGUGGCGAAGGCGUCCCACCAGAACGGACCUGACGGCAAGGGACGAAAGCUAGGGGCACGAACCGGAUUAGAUACCCGGGUAGUCCUAGCCGUAAACGAUACUCGCUAGGUGUCGGCCACGGUGCGACCGUUGUCGGUGCCGUAGGGAAACCGUGAAACGCGCCGCCUGGGGAGUACGGUCGCAAGGCUGAAACUU
rnacentral:rRNA from 1 species